CUUGGAGAGGGGUAUGGGAAGACUUCUGGACUGGUUUGAAAACAGCUGAAACAUAUCCAGGAGAAUUUUCAACUUUUGUAAAAUCCGCCUGAAGAUGACUGAUCCUCUGAUGAGAAGGUAGUCAUCAAAAAAAAUACAGCCACAGACUUGGAGAGUGCUGGUCUGAGAGGCAGAGAACCUCUGUAUUUAUUACAAAGCCAAGUGUAACAGAAUACUUAAGGUGGAUUCUUUACCGUCUGAGCCAAAAGGGAAACUCCAUGAAUGAAUAUGUCAGUCAUGUGUCCUGCCUUGUCCUAACUGAAAGCUAGUCUAGAUGCUUGCUUUUACUUGGAACCUUUGGCUGACUGCAUCGAGAAAAAGAUUAUUUGAAGCUCAUUCAUUCCAGCAUUUGGACUUUGGACCCAAGAGUCAGUCGAAUCACUAAGCUGUCUUGGUUUGUGAUUUUCCCUGUUCUGUUUUGAAGGCUAGUUUCCUUUCCUUCCUCCCUCUAUCCCUACUCCUUUCUUCCUUCCUUUCUUUUCAAAUAAAACAGCAGCAUAUUUAAGUAUACAAA
ensembl:lncRNA